GGUGGCUCCCACCUGUAGUCCCAGCUACUCAGGAAGCUGAGGUGGGAAGGAUGUGACAUGAGGGGUUCUGCUGGCUGCUGUGGUCCAUGGCAGGGGGGCAGCCCUGGUUUCAUGAACUCAGAACCCAGCCUCUGGGGGAUGGAAGCACUCUCCACUGGGCACGUGUGGUCCCUGCAGCCUGUAGCUUCAAAGCACGGUGACUGGUUCCAAGCCCAGUAUGGUGGAGAAGGAGACUACGGCAGGAACCAGGGGGAUUCGGGGGUGGAGGAGGGAAGCCGCAGGGCAGUUGGUGGGUACAUCAGAUCCUGUGGACAUGGUGUGCAGACCCGGAACCCCGGCAGAGGAGCAAGGAUUCCUUGCACCAAGAGGAUGGUGGCCCUUGGCCUCCUGGUGCAGAGCAUCAGUCCCACGCUGGGAGUGUGGAGA
rnacentral:lncRNA from 10 species